rnacentral:other from 1 species
CAAUCUCUGGAAUGUACGGCGCCGCUCCGAACACGCUGACCAAUCAGAACCGUUUCGUGUCUUCGCGUAGGGAAGUGGUGAGCCAGCCCACCCACGAGUGGGACGCCUGAAACUUUCCUCCUGGCACUCCUGGUAAAUAGCGGUCAGCCACGGAGCCGUGUCGUCAUUCCGGAGUUUGC